UUGAAAGGGAAACGAUUGAAGUCAGUCGUACCAGCGGGAAAUCAACCUUUCGAGUGGGGGUUUUGGAGUUUUGAAGAGUUUCAAAACCUUUGAGAUUUCAAAAAUUUCGCUCUUUUGGUGUACUUUCUCGUGGGUAGGUUAACAUCGAUUUUGAUCAUCAUAAAAAGAUUGGAGGAAUGUAGCUUCUAUCUUGUAUUGAAGUGUUAUGGCCUUUGGUAAAUGUGAUGAUUAGGAUCGAGGAUUGCAACGAAUACCCUUUUGGGCUAUCCGCCUGAUCUCUGAUACGUGGCCUUGGCAUCGAAAGCUUGCUUAUGGUAUCAAGGUAUUACGGUCAAAAGGUUAGAACGGAUUACAUUCGUUAAGGAUGUUGACGUA
rnacentral:rRNA from 1 species